rnacentral:rRNA from 1 species
UAUUGCACAAUGGGGGAAACCCUGAUGCAGCGACGCCGCGUGAGUGAAGAAGUAUUUCGGUAUGUAAAGCUCUAUCAGCAGGGAAGAUAAUGACGGUACCUGACUGAGAAGCCCCGGCUAACUACGUGCCAGCAGCCGCGGUAUUACGUAGGGGGCAAGCGUUAUCCGGAUUUGCUGGGUGUAAAGGGUGCGUAGGUGGCAGGGCAAGUCAGAUGCGAAAGCCCGGGGCUCAACCCCGGUACUGCAUUUGAAACUGUCCAGCUGGAGUGCAGGAGAGGUAAGCGGAAUUCCGAGUGUAGCGGUGAAAUGCGUAGAUAUUAGGAGGAACGCCAGUGGCGAAGGCGGCUUACUGGACUGUAACUGACACUGAGGCACGAAAGCGUGGGGAGCA